GAUGAAGAACGUAGCGAAAUGCAAUAAUUAAUGUGAAUUGCAGAAUUCCGUGAAUCAUCGAGUCUUUGAACGCACAUUGCGCCUCAUGGCAUUCCGUGAGGCAUGCCCAUCUCAGCGUUAGAAAAUAUUCUCAAAUUUUAGUUUUGUGCUAAAAUUUGGAUCAUGUCAAGGAAGCUAUUACUAUUAUUGUGAUCGCAAUUUGGAAAUUGAUAGGUCUUUGAGUUGCUACUCAUAGAACGUGAUGAAUCUUUCUUCGUUCUAUUGUAAUUCACUCUGGUAGUCCUAAAACUUGUAUGCCUGUGGCAUAUCUUGUAAUUUGACCUGAGAUUGGGUAGGGAUACCCGCUGAACUUAAGCAUAUCAAUAAGCGGAGGA
rnacentral:misc_RNA from 1 species